AAACCCAUUUGUAACCCUAACUUACAUACUGAUGAGUUAGGCUACAGCAAUUUCCCUUCCUCUUCAACGUGCGACGACCAAAACCCUACAGCCGCACCACCACGCGCAGCCCCUUUCCCUUAGAUUUGCUCGACGACGGAAGCAUUCUCCUUCGAUUCCACCUUCGAGACUGGUUAGUUUUUUCGAUUCCACUUCGACGCGGUUUGUAUGUAUAUGUAUUGUUGUUUGUAAGUGAUUCCACUUCCACUUCGGAAUUGAAGCCAGACGCUGAGGGAUUGACGAACAGUUCUAGCUAUCCACAUCAUCGUUCAGAUGAUACACUCAAACCCAGGAUAAAUGGAUGGAGUUGUUUCCCUCAAUCAUCUCGCGUGCGAAAACGCUUCAAGUCAUCAUUUCUGGUGUUAAUGGAACGCCGAAUGCUUCCAUGCAGCUAGUUACUUGGGUUGAGCAUGCUGAGGCUGAGAAUGAGCUGGUCCAUGGGAUCUUUACUGAUUAUGUUAGCAGUGGAAUGGCAUUUGGAGCUCGACGAUGGCUAGCUGUUUUACAACGCCAAUGCGAGAGGCUUGCAAGUCUUAUGGCCUGAAAUAUAUCUGACAUUGGAGCAAUACCAACACCAGAAGCAAGAACAAAUUUGAUGAAUGUGGCUCAUAGGAUGGUACGGAUGUUUUGCCUUCACAUAACUGGCUCAUGUCGGCAAUCAUGGACAACCCUUUCUGAUUCAGUUGAGGAGACAGUUCGAAUAACGACUAGAAAAGUCACUGAACCAGGCCAGCCCAAUGGUUUGAUCCUGACAGCAGUAUCAACAACCUGGUUUCUUUAUCCUCACUAUCAAGUUCUUGACUAAUGAUUAUUGUAAUCUGCAGCCUGUUGGUGUGGUUGGUGCAGUAAUGCUUUUGCGUUAUAUCCAGAAGUUAGGGCUGUGAUAUCGGCACUUAGGUAUCAUGAACAAUAUCCACGGCUUCCAGCUGAUUUUGAGGUAUUUCAUUUAGAUGUGGCACGACAAAAGAGAGAGGCUACAGAUGAUUGUAAUUUGACGGGUUUAUUUCCGAAGUUUUUUAGAGAGUUAGGUAUUUCGUUAGAUUAGCUUAUGUAGUUUUUUUUAUACAAUUUAACGUAGUUUGUUAUGCAUUCAACGAUUGUAAUUUGACGGGUUUAUUUCCGAAUUGGAUGUCUACAGGUUUAUUUCGGAAUUGAAUGUGUAUUGUUUUGGUUUGA